GCAAUGAACAAUGACAGGGCUUUCCUGUUUCCACUCUCACUCACCCACCAACGAGCUUAAAGAGGCAGCGGAUGGACAGAAAUUCCCACUACUCACAAUUCAGGUGGAAAUGGAAAAUUUGCAAGCCAUCUGAGGAAGCAGUAAGUAGAGGAGUAAAGUGAAGUCCUGAACCCCUCCAGGGGACCAAGCCCCCUGCUGGGCCUGGGGACAUAGAGAUUCUGUCCUGGCCUUGGGGAACUCCCAGGCAAGCUGUGAAAUUGUGGCCUAUGCAUCGAAUCGGGAGCUGGGAGAUCUCUGUACUUUCUACCUGGGGCCCUUGGGAUCAAGCAGAUACUUCUCUGAGCCCCAAUUUAUCUGUAAAAUGAGUAUACCAGUGCCUGCCUCACCGGGCUGUAAAGAUGAAUAAUGAAUAAUUCUAACAAUAAUUUAUAAAUUAUAAAGCCACAUAAACGUAA